GACAGAGGGUGCAAACGUUGUUCGGAAUUACUGGGCGUAAAGCGCGUGUAGGCUGCUCGGAAAGUCGGGUGUGAAAGCCCUGGGCUCAACCUAGGAAGUGCACUCGAAACUGCCGAGCUCGAGAUCUGGAGAGGAAGGCGGAAUUCUCGGUGUAGAGGUGAAAUUCGUAGAUAUCGAGAGGAACACCGGUGGCGAAGGCGGCCUUCUGGACAGCAUCUGACGCUGAGACGCGAAAGCGUGGGGAGCAAACAGG
rnacentral:rRNA from 1 species